rnacentral:rRNA from 1 species
GUCUACGGCCAUGUCACCCUGAACAAAUCCGAUCUCAUCUGAUCUCGGGGAAGCUAAGCGGGUCGGGCCUGGUUAGUACUUGCAUGGGAGACCAGGUGCUGUAGGCG